CCGGUACCCAAACCAGAACCAAUACGCCAAUACUGGUUUUUAUACUCCAUUAAUGGUUCCCAAACUAGAACCAACAAUUCAAUACCGGUAUCAAAACACCAGCAGGUCCGAUACCAAAACAAGUACCAAUAAUCUGUUAUCGGUACCAUUAAAACAAGUAGUCCUUCAAGAUGGCGGACUGGCAGACGGGACAAAACGAAGCGGAGAAUUAUAAAGUGAUUUCCUCGGUUUAUUCAUGGUGAAGGAGGCUGUUACUGUCUGCCUGGCACUUGGCACUCUUCACCGUUCUGCUUUCCGCCUGGAGUGCCACGGGGCCAACAGUGAGUGCCGGGCAGCUGACGGUGGACCUGGUGAUUACCUGUGAGAAGGUGGGCACCACCCAGCCCCUCUGACCACAGCAGCAAAGACCAGUGCCAUGUCUUGCCUGCCCAGUGCCUUGCUGUCAUGCAGACCCCCUCAUAGAAGUGAGUGGCUUGGCCUUUACAUGUGUGACUCUAGCUGUGUAUGCCUUUGACAGUCUGUCAUAUCUCUAAAUACAUUCAGUUAUCAAUAUAUCUGUCUGUCAUAUCUCUAAAUACAUUCAGUUAUCAAUAUAUCUGUCUGUCAUAUCUUUAAAUACAUUCAGUUAUCAAUAUAUCUGUCUGUCAUAUCUUUAAAUACAUUCAGUUAUCAAUACAUCUGUCUGUCAUAUCUUUAAAUACAUUCAGUUAUCAAUAUAUCUGUCUGUCAUAUCUUUAAAUACAUUCAGUUAUCAAUAUAUCUGUCUGUCAUAUCUUUAAAUACAUUCAGUUAUCAAUAUAUCUGUCUGUCAUAUCUCUAAAUACAUUCAGUUAUCAAUAUAUCUGUCUGUCAUAUCUCUAAAUACAUUCAGUUAUCAAUAUAUCUGUCUGUCAUAUCUUUAAAUACAUUCAGUUAUCAAUAUAUCUGUCUGUCAUGUCUUUAAAUACAUUCAGUUAUCAAUAUAUCUGUCUGUCAUAUCUUUAAAUACAUUCAGUUAUCAAUAUAUCUGUCUGUCAUGUCUUUAAAUACAUUCAGUUAUCAAUAUAUCUGUCUGUCAUAUCUCUAAAUACAUUCAGUUAUCAAUAUAUCUGUCUGCCAGUCUGUCAUAUCUCUAAUAAAUACAUUCAGUUAUCAAUAUAUCUGUCUGUCAUAUCUUUAAAUACAUUCAGUUAUCAGUAUAUCUGUCUGUCAUAUCUUUAAAUACAUUCAGUUAUCAAUAUAUCUGUCUGUCAUAUCUUUAAAUACAUUCAGUUAUCAAUAUAUCUGUCUGUCAUAUCUCUAAAUACAUUCAGUUAUCAAUAUAUCUGUCUGUCAUAUCUCUAAUAAAUACA